rnacentral:rRNA from 1 species
GACGAACGCUGGCGGCGUGCUUAACACAUGCAAGUCGAACGGAAAGGCCCUGCUUUUGUGGGGUGCUCGAGUGGCGAACGGGUGAGUAACACGUGAGUAACCUGCCCUUGACUUUGGGAUAACUUCAGGAAACUGGGGCUAAUACCGGAUAGGAGCUCCUGCUGCAUGGUGGGGGUUGGAAAGUUUCGGCGGUUGGGGAUGGACUCGCGGCUUAUCAGCUUGUUGGUGGGGUAGUGGCUUACCAAGGCUUUGACGGGUAGCCGGCCUGAGAGGGUGACCGGCCACAUUGGGACUGAGAUACGGCCCAGACUCCUACGGGAGGCAGCAGUGGGGAAUAUUGCACAAUGGGCGGAAGCCUGAUGAAGCAACGCCGCGUGCGGGAUGACGGCCUUCGGGUUGUAAACCGCUUUCGCCUGUGACGAAGCGUGAGUGACGGUAAUGGGUAAAGAAGCAACGGCUAACUACGUG